AAAAAAGUAGGGAAAUGUGUGAGCCAGCUGCCAAGAAAAGCCGCUAUUGUUUGUACUGUACCCGUACCGUAAACCGACACAGGUAGGUGGGGAGAGAAUCCUAAGGCCGACGGGAGAAGCAUUGUUAAGGAACUCGGCAAAAUGACUCCGUAACUUCGGGAGAAGGAGUGCCAGUGAGAGCUGGCCGCAGAGAAUUGGCCCAAGCAACUGUUUAGCAAAAACACAGGUCUAUGCAAAACCGUAAGGUGAAGUAUAUGGGCUGACGCCUGCCCGGUGCUGGAAGGUUAAGGGGAGAGGUUAGCGCAAGCGAAGCUUUGAACUUAAGCCCCAGUAAACGGCGGCCGUAACGAUAACGGUCCUAAGGUAGCGAAAUUCCUUGUCGGGUAAGUUCCGACCCGCACGAAAGGCGUAAUGAUUUGGGCACUGUCUCAACAAUGCACCCGGUGAAAUUGAAAUACCAGUGAAGAUGCUGGUUACCUGCGCCAGGACGGAAAGACCCCAUGGAGCUUUACUCCAGCUUGAUACUGGGAUUCGAUAUUGUAUGUACAGGAUAGGUGGGAGGCGAAGAAGCAUUGACGCCAGUUGAUGCGGAGCCGCUGUUGGGAUACCACCCUUGCAGUAUUGGAUUUCUAACCAGCAGCCGUGACCCGGCUGGGGGACAAUGUCAGGUGGGGAGUUUGACUGGGGCGGUCGCCUCCGAAAGGGUAUCGGAGGCGCUCAAAGGUUCCCUCAGAAUGGUUGGAAACCAUUCGAAGAGUGCAAAGGCAGAAGGGAGCUCGACUGCGACACCGACGGGUGGAGCAGGUACGAAAGUAGGACUUAGUGAUCCGGUGGUAUAAAGUGGGAUUGCCAUCGCUCAACGGAUAAAAGCUACCCUGGGAUAACAGGCUUAUCACUCCCAAGAGUUCACAUCGACGGAGUGGUUUGGCACCUCGAUGUCGGCUCAUCGCAUCCUGGGGCUGAAGUAGGUCCCAAGGGUUGGGCUGUUCGCCCAUUAAAGCGGUACGCGAGCUGGGUUCAGAACGUCGUGAGACAGUUCGGUCCCUAUCCGGCGUGGGCGUAGGAUAUUUGAGAGGAGCUGGCCUUAGUACGAGAGGACCGGGCUGGACUGACCGCUGGUGUAUCUGUUGUUCCGCCAGGAGCAUGGCAGAGUAGCCAAGUCAGGAAGGGAUAAACGCUGAAGGCAUCUAAGCGUGAAGCCCCCCUCAAGAUGAGAUAUCCCAACGCAAGUUGUAAGACCCCUUGAAGACGACAAGGUAGAUAGGGCAGAGGUGGAAGUGCAGUAAUGCAUGGAGCUGACUGUUACUAAUCGGUCGAGGGCAUAACU
rnacentral:rRNA from 1 species